GACUAACGCUGGCGGCGUGCCUAACACAUGCAAGUCUAACGAGAAAGCGGUAGCAAUAUCGUGAGUAAAGUGGCGAACGGGUGAGUAACACGUAACUAAUCUGCCCUCCAGUGGAGGAAACUCAGGGAAACUUGAGCUAAUCCUUCAUAACGUGAUGAGAUCGCAUGGUUUUGUCAUUAAAGAUUUAUCGCUGGAGGAGGAGGUUGCGUCUGAUUAGCCAGAUGGCGGGGUAACGGCCCACCAUAGCUAUGAUCAGUAGCUGGUCUGAGAGGAUGAUCAGCCACAC
rnacentral:rRNA from 1 species